rnacentral:pre_miRNA from 1 species
CUGUGAGCAGGCAUCUUCCUAGCCUACAUGUAGAUCCAGGAAUCUGCAGGCUGGUUAGAUGGUUGUCACAUGU